rnacentral:rRNA from 1 species
GACGACGCUGGCGGCGUGGAUUAGGCAUGCAAGUCGAACGGUAUCAUCCUUUCGGGGGUGAGAGAGUGGCGAACUGGUGAGUAACACGUAGGUUAUCUACCCUCAAGACGGGGACAACCCAGGGAAACUUGGGCUAAUACCGGAUGUGAGCAACUUUUAGUUGUUUGAAAGGUGGCGUAAGCUGUCGCUUGGGGAUGAGCCUGCGUCCUAUUAGUUAGUUGGUGAGGUAACGGCUCACCUAGGCAAUGAUAGGUAGGCGGCCUUAACGGGUGGUCGCCCACACUGGGAUUGAGAUACGGCCCAGACUCCUACGGGAGGCAGCAGUCGAGAAUAGUCUACAAUGGUCGGAAGACUGAUAGUGCGACGCCGCGUGAACGAUGAAUCCCCUCGGGGUGUAAAGUUCUUUUAUAUGUGAGCAGUGCUUCUUAUAUUAACAGUAUGGGGAGAGAGAUAUUAGCAUAUGAAUAAGCAACGGCUAACUCCGUG